GGAAGGAUCAUUACCGAAUUGUCAACAUGAAGUUGUUGCUGGCCCUCAGAUGGGGGCAUGUGCACACUCUGUUUACACAUCCACUCACACCUGUGCACUCCUCUGUAGUACUGUGGUCUGGGGGUUCUGUCCUCCUACUGUGGUUCUGCGUAUUUAUACACACACACUGUAAUAAAGUCUCAUGGAAUGUAUGCCGCGUUUAACGCAAUGAAAUACAACUUUCAGCAACGGAUCUCUUGGCUCUCGCAUCGAUGAAGAACGCAGCGAAAUGCGAUAAGUAAUGUGAAUUGCAGAAUUCAGUGAAUCAUCGAAUCUUUGAACGCACCUUGCGCCCUUUGGCUAUUCCGAAGGGCAUGCCUGUUUGAGUAUCAUGAACACCUCAACUCUCAUGGCUUGCCAUGAUGAGCUUGGACUUGGGGGUUUUGCUGGCCUACAGUCAGCUCCCCUCAAAUGCAUCAGCUUUCCAGUUUUUGGUGGCACCACAAGUGUGAUAAACAUCUACACGUGUGGUUCCCCACCAUGUAACCUUCAGUGAUGGAGGUUUGCUGGAGCUCACAAAUGUCUUUCCUCAGUGAAGACAGUUCUUUGAUUGUUUGAUCUCAAAUCAGGUAGGACUACCCGCUGAACUUAAGCAUAUCAAUAAGCGGAGGAAAAGAAACUAACAAGGAUUCCCCUAGUAACUGCGAGUGAAGCGGGAAGAGCUCAAAUUUAAAAUCU
rnacentral:rRNA from 1 species